AUAGCUGGUUCUCCCCGAAAGCUAUUUAGGUAGCGCCUCGUGAAUUCAUCUCCGGGGGUAGAGCACUGUUUCGGCUAGGGGGCCAUCCCGGCUUACCAACCCGAUGCAAACUGCGAAUACCGGAGAAUGUUAUCACGGGAGACACACGGCGGGUGCUAACGUCCGUCGUGAAGAGGGAAACAACCCAGACCGCCAGCUAAGGUCCCAAAGUCAUGGUUAAGUGGGAAACGAUGUGGGAAGGCCCAGACAGCCAGGAUGUUGGCUUAGAAGCAGCCAUCAUUUAAAGAAAGCGUAAUAGCUCACUGGUCGAGUCGGCCUGCGCGGAAGAUGUAACGGGGCUAAACCAUG
rnacentral:rRNA from 1 species